AGCAAAUGCAGCUUGUCCCUUAAGAAUCUACAGCCUGCUUGUACCAUUUCUCAGGGGUGAAAGCCUGGUUCCAUUGAUGUCAUUGGGAAUUUUGCCAUUGACUUCCCUAAUUUCAGCCUCAGUCAAGGAAUAUCAUCACGGCAUCGUUCCCCAAAUUCAUAGACCUUUAACAAGACCUCUUUUCAAAACCCAGGAGUCAUUAGUCUGACACUGAAGAAUGCUCCAUUAUACCUGAACUUUUUUUUAAAUGAUCAAAAACCCCAUUUUGCUCCACUUCUUUUAUUUUCCUGCCUUUUAUUUAACAACUUUAUCAUAUUUUGAAUUCAGCUUCAUCCUACAGUAUUGUGGAAAGAUAAUGAACUCAAUCUUCUGCCUAACAAAUCAUUAUCAGAAAUAUAUGUGUGUCCUAAUAAAGCAAUCCAGUAGUUCAGUAAGAAAGCUUUUGUACCACUCAUGGUAUUGCAAUAAAAACCCUAAUGUUUCUAUAGGAAAGACAAUUUUAUCUGCCCUUAUUACUGUUCCCCUUUGUACUUAUACACUGCU